rnacentral:rRNA from 1 species
AGAGUUGAUCCUGGCUAGAACGAACGCUGGCGGCGCGUUUAAGCAUGCAGGUCGAGCGGCAAGGGCCUUCGGGCCCCUAGAGCGGCGGACGGGUGAGUAACACGUGGACAAUCUGCCCCCCGGACCGGGAUAGCCCAGGGAAACCUGGAUUAAUACCGGAUGAGACGGGACCUGCGAUGGCGGGAUCCGGGAAAGGCGCUACGGCGCCGCCGGGGGAUGAGUCUGCGUCCCAUUAGCUAGACGGCGGGGUAACGGCCCACCGUGGCGACGAUGGGUAGCCGGCCUGAGAGGGUGGACGGCCACAUUGGAACUGAGACACGGUCCAGACUCCUACGGGAGGCAGCAGCUAAGAAUCUUCCGCAAUGGGCGAAAGCCUGACGGAGCGACGCCCGCGUGAACGAAGAAGGCCGUGAGGUUGUAAAGUUCUUUUCGGGAGGGGGAACAACCGUGGCAGGGAAUGGCCGCGGGAUGACGUGAAUCCCGGAAUAAGCCCCGGCUAACUACGUGCCAGCAGCUGC